UACAGAGACUGCAAGCGUUACUCGGAUUCACUGGGCGUAAAGGGAGCGCAGGCGGACCGGUGUGUCAGAUGUGAAACCCCAGGGCUCAACCCUGGGACUGCGUCUGAAACUGCCGGUCUAGGGACUCGGAGGGGCUAGUGGAAUUCCUGGUGGAGCAGUGAAAUGCGUAGAUAUCAGGAGGAACACCGGUGGCGAAGGCGGGUCUCUGGGCCGAUACUGACGCUGAGGAGCGAAAGCGUGGGGAGCGAACAGG
rnacentral:rRNA from 1 species